UACGGAGGAUCCAAGCGUUAUCCGGAUUUAUUGGGUUUAAAGGGUGCGUAGGCGGCCUAUUAAGUCAGGGGUGAAAGACGGUAGCUUAACUAUCGCAGUGCCUUUGAUACUGAUGGGGCUUGAAUGGACUAGAGGUAGGCGGAAUGUGACAAGUAGCGGUGAAAUGCAUAGAUAUGUCACAGAACACCAAUUGCGAAGGCAGCUUACUAUGGUUUAAUUGACGCUGAGGCACGAAAGCGUGGGGAUCAAACAGG
rnacentral:rRNA from 1 species